AGAGUUUGAUCAUGGCUCAGGAUGAACGCUAGCUACAGGCUUAACACAUGCAAGUCGAGGGGAAACGACAUCGAAAGCUUGCUUUUGAUGGGCGUCGACCGGCGCACGGGUGAGUAACGCGUAUCCAACCUGCCCACCACUUGGGGAUAACCUUGCGAAAGUAAGACUAAUACCCAAUGACGUCUCUAGAAGACAUCUGAAAGAGAUUAAAGAUUUAUCGGUGAUGGAUGGGGAUGCGUCUGAUUAGCUUGGUUGGCGGGGUAACGGCCCACCAAGGCGACGAUCGAGUAGGGGUUCUGGAGAGGAACGGUCCCCCACAUUGGAACUGAGACACGGUACCAAACGUCCGUACGGGAGGCA
rnacentral:rRNA from 1 species